GACGGAGGAUGCAAGCGUUAUCCGGAAUGAUUGGGCGUAAAGCGUCUGUAGGUGGCUUUUUAAGUCCGCCGUCAAAUCCCAGGGCUCAACCCUGGACAGGCGGUGGAAACUACCAAGCUGGAGUACGGUAGGGGCAGAGGGAAUUUCCGGUGGAGCGGUGAAAUGCGUAGAGAUUGGAAAGAACACCGAUGGCGAAGGCACUUUACUGGGCUAUUACUAACACUGAGAGACGAAAGCUAGGGUAGCAAAUGGG
rnacentral:rRNA from 1 species